GAAGGAGGUAAGCAUAAUAAUAUGUACAAAAAUUAAUUUGGGUCUUUAGACCUACCAUUUUUGAUGUCUUUUGGCUUUGAUUUUGGGCAUUGUUCUGCAGCAAAACG